rnacentral:rRNA from 1 species
CGACCGGGUGAGUAACACGUAGGCGACCGACCCAGAAGCGGGGGACAACAGUCCGAAAGGAGUGCUAAUACCGCGUAAUAUCACUGAAGCGAUUCAGUGAAGAAAGCUGCUAAGCACUUUUGGGAGGGCCUGCGGCCCAUCAGGUAGUUGGCGGGGUAACAGCCCACCAAGCUGAUGACGGGUAGGGGGUGUGAGAGCAUGACCCCCCACACUGGCACUGAGAACGGGCCAG